rnacentral:rRNA from 1 species
CAACCUGCCCACCACUUGGGGAUAACCUUGCGAAAGUAAGACUAAUACCCAAUGACGUCUCUAGAAGACAUCUGAAAGAGAUUAAAGAUUUAUCGGUGAUGGAUGGGGAUGCGUCUGAUUAGCUUGUUGGCGGGGUAACGGCCCACCAAGGCAACGAUCAGUAGGGGUUCUGAGAGGAAGGUCCCCCACAUUGGAACUGAGACACGGUCCAAACUCCUACGGGAGGCAGCAGUGAGGAAUAUUGGUCAAUGGACGAGAGUCUGAACCAGCCAAGUAGCGUGCAGGAUGACGGCCCUAUGGGUUGUAAACUGCUUUUAUAAGGGAAUAAAGUGAGAGUCGUGACUCUUUUUGCAUGUACCUUAUGAAUAAGGACCGGCUAAUUCCGUGCCAGCAGCCGCGGUAAUACGGAAGGUCCGGGCGUUAUCCGGAUUUAUUGGGUUUAAAGGGAGCGUAGGCCGGAGAUUAAGCGUGUUGUGAAAUGUAGACGCUCAACGUCUGCACUGCAGCGCGAACUGGUUUCCUUGAGUACGCACAAAGUGGGCGGAAUUCGUGGUGUAGCGGUGAAAUGCUUAGAUAUCACGAAGAACUCCGAUUG